rnacentral:tRNA from 1 species
GGGCGUAUAGCUCAGCGGGAGAGCACUGUGUUGACAUCGCAGGGGUCGCUGGUUCAAUCCCAGCUACGCCCACCA